ensembl:lncRNA
GCCUACUGGCCUGGGGCUGGGGUGUGCAUCCUGGGAACUCCUGUGCAGCACCCAGGCAGCACAGCCCUCCCUUGGGGGGGACCCCUCCCCCUUUGGAGGUGCCAGGAGCCCGGGGAUCUAUGCAGGAGUUGAGGGGCACAGGGUUGAUGCCUACCCACAGCAGCCAUGGUGCCUGACGGGAGGCUGGCCUCCUUGACACACUGGCCUCUCCAGUAGGCUGCAAGCACAGCCUCCUCCUGGGAGACACAGCCAUCGGCAUAGGCACAGGCCACCUCCCCCAGGGAGUGCCCAAUGAUCCCGUCAGGUCUCAGGCCCAUGGAAGUCAGCAGGUCGGACACCUUCAGUCCAACUGGCUUCAGGGCCUCAUCAGAGCGCAGGAUGGAGUCACGGAAGCCACCCAGAUGCAUAAGGCUCACUCCCAUUCCGUACCACUGUGUGCCCAUCCCUGUGCCAGAGUGUCAGUGCCUUGGCCAGUGCCAACCUGCCCCCACCCUUCCAACAGAGGGUGUGGGGAUGGGCUUACCUGAGCAAAUGAACCAGAGCGGGCGCUUGCUGGAAGGCACCUGCUGCACUUCCUGGGCACCGCCCUCCACACCCAGCACGGCAUAGCCCCUGAAGGGCAUGGUUGACAGUGAAGUGGCCAUGAUGUCAUUGAGCAUGCUCACGAAGGUUAGGUCCUGGCUGUGCUGGCAACCCUGGUCCAGCAGGCUCUGCGCAGCCUCGAGGGUACGCCCACUGACCCGCAGCAGGCGGGGCAGGGCAGCAUGGGGGGCAGGUGGUGAGGGCUGCUUCGUGUGGGGCUGGAGGAUGACGUGCACGUUGGACCCUCCGAAGCCAAAGGAAUUGAUGCUCACAAUGCCACCAUGAACAGGCAGGGGCCGGUCUACCACCUGCAGCCGCCCGUCACUCAGGGCUGGGAUCUCAGAGUUCGGGGUAUGGAAGUGCAGGUUGGGGGCCCAGAGCCCAUGCUCCAGGCACAGCAGCACCUGCACCCAGAGCACAUACUGGUGGGCAGCUGCCCCUGCAGGGCUUGGCUACCUCCCUGGGAUCCACUGAGGGCCAUCCCCAGCCUAUGCCUGCUACCACACAGGGCUCCUGCAGCUGCCCUCAGCCUAGCAUCAUGCACUGUGGGGCUGGCUCACCAAACCAGUCAGGAAGUAGGGUCAUGAAGGUGCAUGUCUAUGUGGGGGCAAGACAGGUGAGAGGACCCCAAAUGGACAAUGGUCUGCCCUGACUCCCUAAUCCCCACCAAAUCUCCACAACUGAACCAGGAAGGUAGGUAAGUAGGCACCUACCUGGCUGAGCUUUCUCUCUGGCUGGGCCCCAAGAGCAGCUCAGCUCAGCAGGACAUCUGGCAGAUGGGGAGCCCUGGGGGAAAACGCUGGCUCCCACUAGGCAAAACGGGUGUGCAGUGGCCACUCUGCAUGGCUGUCUAGGGCACAGGGGCCUGUGCUGCUCAGCCACUUACCUUGGCCAGAGCUGCAAGCCCUGAGGCAGGCUCGGGGUGCCCCAUGUUGGACUUGGUGGACCCAAUCAGCAGCGGGUCCUGGCGGGAGGCGCACAGGGCCCUGGUGAUGCUAUUCAGCUCCUGGGGGUCGCCCACCUGCAGGGGAUGUGGAGUCAGGGCUCCAGCCAGGGCCCCUCCAGUGUGGGUGGGGUGGGGGACACAGGGACUUCACCUUGGUGCCCGUGCCAUGGGUUUCAAUGUACUCCAGGGACUCCGGUGCCAGCCCAGCCGGCAGGUACAGGGAGCGGAUGAGCUGCUCCUGGGCCUCUCCAGAGGGGAAGGUCACACCUGAGGGAGUUGGGGCAGCGUCAGGCACAGAGUGCCCUCCAUCCCACUUGUGGCAGCCUGGUGCCACCCCACCAUGCCCACCUUGUUCCUUGGAGCCAUCUGUGUUGGUGCCAGCAUUCAGGAUAGUGGCAUACACCCGCCGGGCCAGGGACUUCUUGGUCAGCAAGACAGCGACUACAGCCUCUGAACGGCAGUAUCCACUCCCUGGGC